rnacentral:rRNA from 1 species
UACGUAGGGUGCGAGCGUUGUCCGGAAUUAUUGGGCGUAAAGAGCUCGUAGGCGGUGUGUCGCGUCGGCCGUGAAAACCUGGGGCUUAACUCUGGGCGUGCGGUCGAUACGGGCAUCACUAGGGUUCGGCAGGGGAGACUGGAAUUCCUGGUGUAGCGGUGAAAUGCGCAGAUAUCAGGAGGAACACCGGUGGCGAAGGCGGGUCUCUGGGCCGAUACUGACGCUGAGGAGCGAAAGCAUGGGUAGCGAACAGG